GACUUGCACCCCCCCGCAUUGUGUAGGUCUCCUUGUGAAGGUCAUGGAGUUAGUGCCUUCUUUGGAGUCUUCCGAAGAUAACUUCCAACAGAUAACUAAGGAGGGACCGGGCAGGGUCAUCACAAAGUUCUCCAAGACCCCUGGCUGACGCGUCAGGGCCCCACGCUCCAGGCUGCUGUGACUUCAUGGAGGACAGCUGAACACGGGCCUUUGUUCUCGGGUUACUGAGAAGACGUGCUCCAGACCACCGUCCUCAGGAAACACCCCAGGUCCCAAGCAAAGAUGAGGCUCAGUCUGGGCUCCUUUCCGAGCCUCUCUUCCUAUCUGCGCUGUGUCCUUACGAACUCUGCGGGCGCUUCCUCAUGCCUCCAGUUUGGUUUCUGUCCUGCACGAAAGGGGCCGCUCGCCAGGUCCCGCGUCCUCAGACCCAGUCAGCCUGCGUCAUUGGCGGAGGGGAGAAGCCCUGCUUCCCAGCUCCCAGCUCCCAGCUUCAGGCCUCCCAAGGAAUGUAUGACCAGCGCAGAGCACACGAUGAAGAGAAGGCCGCUCACAGAAGUGGCAGAAAUCUCAGGAGCGCGCAGCCCCCGCCCCCACGGCUCUGGGGGUUUCACGGGGCACAUCCUGGCGAGGCCUCGGCCCCUACACCCGGUGAGGUGGCGAAGGCAGGGAUGGCCUCCCCCACGAGGCCGGAAGCCCAGGCUGGAGGGCAGUGGUAUCCAGAAUUCAGAUGGCUGUGCUGUACGGGGCUUGGGUCCAGGCUGCGCUCCUCCAUCCACACUGUGCUGCCGUACUGUCCUGGGUGGAAAGCAGAGGCCUGGGCAUAAAGUGCAGAUGAGCUGUGGGCAAAGGGAGGGAGGAGGGCCUGCGUGUAGAAGGUGGGAGGGAGGGGGAGGAGGGGGCAGCUCCUUCGGCAACCUAGCCCCCAGGAGUGGGAGGGGAGGCACAGGGAGGUGGGAGGUCCUGGAAGGGACCCGAGGGGGUGUGUGGGGCAGGCUGAUGAGACGCAGAGCUCCGGGGCUUCAGCCCACCCUGACCUGUCCCUGCGGCUGGUCUGUGUCCCGGGGGAGCUUACGUCCCAGUCCCCGUUCUUGGAGCAUUUUAUUGAAGUCUGGUUUGUGUAUUAGGCAGUCAGUGAGGGGCUGCAGGGGAAGCCAGGUGAGGUGCCUGUGAGGAGGGACGACGGAGCAGGAGAGCGUGGGGCUUAAGAAGGCCCCUUAACCUCUCUGACCCAGAGUAAAUGUGCCGGGAGCCCCAGGAACGCCAACAUUGCUUCUUCUGGGCAGUACUUGAUAAAUAUGGCAACCCCAGAGCCCUGGGGUUCAGUGGGGUGGAGAUGGGCGUUCUCCAGGUAAGGGUGGUGGGCAGGGGCAUUCCAAACCCAGAGUGGUGGGACCCGCAGGUGUGCCAGGAAGGAGCUGGGGGGGGGUCUGUCCUUCGGGGUCUGCUCUUCCCCUCUAGGUUCCUUACUACCCCCAUCUUCCCUCACCCCCCACCAUGGUCUUGGCGUCAUCACCAGCCCAGGGGUCCUGGGGAGCUGGGUCUGACCGAGCAGGGGGAUCGAUGAAGAAGAGGUGGGGGAGGGGCACACGUGGGAGGAGGGGCAGGAGUGUACCAAUAGCUGGAGUGCAAGGCGGGUGUGCUGAGUGCUCUGGGACUCAGCAGGAAAGCUCCUCUCCUGCAUGAGUCCCCGAGUCCCCGUGGGGGACAGGACAGACAUCCUGGAGGGAGACUGGUUGCAGAUGGGCCGAGGCCAUUCCGAUUGGGCCUCAGAGAGGAGCCAAGUGGGCUGUGUAUCAGUGGGGAACCCUCGGCUGAGGGCAGGCAGAGAGCGAGAGAAGUUUUGGAGACACCAGCGUGGAUGCUGAGAGCAGCGGCAGCUCCUGUCACAGAGCCUUCUCACCGGCUCCUUGGGCGCACGCCCUUCGUCGCACAGCCACUGUCCCAGACAGGGAGCUCCGGUAUCUUCAGUUCACAGAUGGGCAAACCGAAAGCACAGAGACGUUCAUAACUUCCCUGAGGCCACACAGCUGGUCAGUGGUGAAGCCAGCCUGGGCAAGAAGGCGGCCUGGCUGGAGAGCCCUGCCCUAGCAGGGUACCUCUCCGGCCAGCGGUCCGCCACCCACUCCAAGAAAGGGACCGUGAGAGCUGGACUCUGCGCAGGCCACUGGCGACACCGACACGUAAAGCAGGUCUGGAAGCGAUCUCUACAGAUGCAGCAGCUGUGCGGGUGUGGGGGCACGAGGGGGCUUCAGCCUUAGGAGCCCAGGCAGGGGCAGGGAGCAGAGCCUGCAGAUGGAAUCCUCCUGCUGGUGCUGCACCUGGGACCCCUCGUGCAGAGGGAGGACUCAGAGGUGGGGGGACUGGGACGGUCAUUUCCUGCCAGGCUGUUCCCAUGGUCUUGCCUAUAGCUCUGUGCUCCAUGCACCCUGGUCCCUGCCUAUCCCCCAAGUCAGGUUCCCUGCCUUUCCAUCUAUUGUAGAAAUUCUGAAUUUCCUUCCAAUAAAACCUUUUCUGUUUUAAGUGGCCUAGACUCAGUUUCUAUCACUGGAAGCCAGGGGCUGGCUGGCAGAAUGGUCAGUGAUGGUGGCAAGAUCCAGGCCUGGGAGGCUGGAAGGGUCAGUUGCAGACUUGUCCCCGGGGGAAGGACAGGAGCUGUCCUUGGGCAGGUUAGCUGUAAAGUGCUUGGGGAAUGGGUUGAGAUAUUGCAUGUUUGGGGCUGGGCCCGGGACAUGCUCUGAGCGAGCAGCAUGGAGAUGGAGCAGGGAAAGGGGUUUGAGGCCCUGGAACCCAUAUGAGAGAGGGUGGAGAGCUGGCUUGUAACCAGUGCCUGCAAGGACCAAGCAGGAAUCGGGAGGGAAAUCUGGAUGGAGAAAUGUGGGCCCAGUUGUAGAUAAAGAGGAGAGAGCUCGUGCAGGGAGCCUGGAGAUGCACAGGGGAAACUGUGGGAACACAUGGGGGUGGGGUGCAGGGCAGAGGGUGGGAGUCCAGGCUGGUGAGGGGCACAGCAGGGGUUUCAGAGGGGAGGCGUGAGGGGGCUGGAGCAGGGUUGGCAGGAACUACCUGCUCCCAGGCCUCCCUUGGGCUGGAGCUGGGGCUUUGGAGACAGAGUGCAGGCAUUUAGACGCCAGGUCUGAAGCUUCACUGGGUCACUCACUGGGAUGUGACCCUGGGCAAAGCACAUCGGGCCUCAGUUUCCUCAUUUAUGAGCUAUCCAAGGGAUCACGGUGAUGGUACCUAGAAAGUGGGCGUGUCUGCACCAUGAGAAGACCUUGGGAUUAGCUGUCAUGACGGGAAUUAUGAUGACUUUUAUUGCACAGCGACAGUCAUGGAAUCCAGUCCCGGGCUCCUGUUCCUACCUCCGGCCCCUGGCAAAGUCCUCCUCAGACAUUGCUGAUGGUCCCGCCGGGUAUGUCAGGUUGUGCGGGUGGGGAGCGGGCAGCACGGAGCUCCCUGUCCUCCCCGUCGCCCCUGCGGGGGUCCUCUGUGUCAGUGCAUCCCGGCAUCCUUGGCAGCUGUUCUGCAGCUGGACUGAGGACAGGCUUGCCGUGUUGUCACCGUGCUAUCCCGCAGGCAUUUCCAGUCCUGUCUGGGGUUGAGGGCUUUGCUGCCGAGCUCUGGGGGAGCUCCCUCGGCCCCUCCGGCAAGGACACUCCUGUGAGGGGUCUCCUCCUGGCUGCUUGCUGAUUUUCUUCCCUGAC
rnacentral:lncRNA from 1 species